GUCUACAGCCAUACCACCCUGAAUGCGUCCGAUCUCGUCUGAUCUUGGAAGCUAAGCAGGGUCGGGCCUGGUUAGUACUUGGAUGGGAGUUUAAUUUUCCUGGAGAUAUAUAGC
ensembl:rRNA 5S_rRNA 5S ribosomal RNA